GCUCCUCCACGCAAGCCCCACCUCUGUCUGUGAUGUCAGCGUGGCUGCCCAUGGGAUCCCAGCCUGGUUUGCCUUUAAAUUUUACAACCUUGUUUAUGCAGCUCGAGGCCCAUGCACUAAAGACCACACGCUCCAUUGAACAUUUAUGGCUGCAAAUGGCUCCUCCGUGCAGGCAAGGGAGGGGGCUGCGCAUGCUUAGGGUGAGGACAUGGAAGCACAGGGAGGUUAUGCCACUCGCCCAAAGACAACUAAUCAGUGACAGCUGAGACUUGGACUGCAGAACCUACACUUUAUAACUAUUUUACAGUUCUGGGCGUCACGGAAUCUUGCAUGAAGAGCCCCUAACCUGGCCCGGGUGGAGGCUCUGCUUCCUCAGUGUCAGCAUCAUUCACAGCAGGCAUGUCCCUCCUGCCUCCAAGAGAGUCACCAGCAGCUUCCUCCUCCACAUCUAGAGAUAUUAUUCCCCCCAUUUCAUGGAGGAGGAAACUGACGAUCAGAGCAGCCAGGAAACAGGAUGGCGUUGUCUGCUGAGGGACGGUGUGUUCCCUGGAGAGGAGAUCCAGCUUGCCAUUGUGGGUUUCUUACAGCAAAAAUCCUGUGUGUACACAUAUGCUGAACAAGGCGCACACAGUCUUCAUACUUCUUUCCCCAAAUCCACUGUUGUACCUCACUCUGGAAACCAAAGAAUACAAAUGGAGAUGAGGCUAA
rnacentral:lncRNA from 1 species